rnacentral:misc_RNA from 1 species
GAUGAAGAAGUAGCGAAAUGCGAUAAGUAAUGUGAAUUGCAGAAUUCAGUGAAUCAUCGAAUCUUUGAACGCACAUUGCGCCCGCCAGUAUUCUGGCGGGCAUGCCUGUUCGAGCGUCAUUACAACCCUCAGGCCCCCGGGCCUGGCGUUGGGGAUCGGCGGAAGCCCCCUGCGGGCACAACGCCGUCCCCCAAAUACAGUGGCGGUCCCGCCGCAGCUUCCAUUGCGUAGUAGCUAACACCUCGCAACUGGAGAGCGGCGCGGCCACGCCGUAAAACACCCAACUUCUGAAUGUUGACCUCGAAUCAGGUAGGAAUACCCGCUGAACUUAAGCAUAUCAAUAAGCGGAGGA